rnacentral:rRNA from 1 species
UACGGGGGGGGCAAGCGUUGUUCGGAAUUACUGGGCGUAAAGGGCGCGUAGGCGGUUCGAUAAGUCAGCUGUGAAAACCAUGGGCUUAACUCAUGGCCUGCAGUUGAGACUGUCGGGCUGGAGUGUGGGAGAGGAGAGUGGAAUUCCUGGUGUAGCGGUGAAAUGCGUAGAUAUCAGGAGGAACACCGGUGGCGAAGGCGGCUCUCUGGACCACAACUGACGCUGAGGCGCGAAAGCGUGGGGAGCAAACAGG